rnacentral:rRNA from 1 species
GAUGAACGCUGGCGGCGGGCCUAAUACAUGCAAGUCGAGCGAACGGACGAGAAGCUUGCUUCGCUGAUGUUAGCGGCGGACGGGUGAGUAACACGUGGAUAACCUACCUAUAAGACUGGGAUAACUUCGGAAAACCGGAGCUACUACCGGAUAAUAUUUUGACCCGCAUGGUUCAAGAGUGAAAGACGGUCUUUCUGUAACUUAUAGAUGGAUCCGCGCUGCAUUAGCUAGUUGGUAAGGUAACGGCUUACCAAGGCAACGAUGCAUAGCCGACCUGAGAGGGUGAUCGGCCACCCUGGAACUGAGACACGGUCCAGACUCCUACGGGAGGCAGCAGUAGGGAAUCUUCCGCGAUGGGCGAAAGCCUGACGGAGCAACGCCGCGUGAGUGAUGAAGGUCUUCGGAUCGUAAAACUCUGUUAUUAGGGAAGAACAUAUGUGUAAGUAACUGUGCACAUCUUGACGGUACCUAAUCAGAAAGCCACGGCUAACUACGUG